rnacentral:sRNA from 1 species
GCGAGCUGAUGGUUCUCCGGCGUUUCGGGGAGGAAGCGCCCGCUCCGACAGAGAGCGAGAAGACCCGCCGCGAUGUAUCCCCCGCGGCGGGUUUUUUCUGUCUGGG